CAGAGGCCCAGGAGAGUUGCAUGCCUUGCGUGAGGUCACACAGCUAACUGCCUGCCUCCCUCCGUUCAUGGCUCCUUCAGUCUUCCCUUCCUGGAGGCAGGAGCUGGCUGGUCCUCACCAGAUUCCCUGUCUCCUCUGGAAGAAAAGCAGGGGCUCUCCCCUCACGGAAAUGUGGCAUUCAGCAAAGCUGGUCGGAGCCUGCAUGGAGACACUGAGGCCCCUGUCAACUGUAGCUCCUGUCCUGGGCCCUCGACAGCAUCACCCUCGAGGCCGGUGCUUCAUCUCCUCCAGCUCCUUUUAAGAAUGAACUUGAUGAAAACACAGACUUUACCUACAAGCCCGGCAGGAGCUCAUGGUCCACACUCACCCGCUUUGGGGCUGACAGGCACUUUCCCAGGGGAGCCUGGGGCCUCCCCUCGACUCUCACCAGGGCCUUCGACCCCUCCAGGAGCCCCCACUCUACCUCUAGCUUCCCCAGGGGCUCCUCAGCCACCUCCUGUGACUCCAGAGCGCUCGUUCUCAGCCUCUGGGGCCCGGAUAGUGUCCAGGUGGCCUCCUCAGACUGCCACCCUC
rnacentral:lncRNA from 1 species